rnacentral:rRNA from 1 species
ACGAACGCUGGCGGCAUGCCUAACACAUGCAAGUCGAACGAGACCUUCGGGUCUAGUGGCGCACGGGUGCGUAACGCGUGGGAAUCUGCCCUUAGGUACGGAAUAACUCAGGGAAACUUGUGCUAAUACCGUAUGAUGUCGAGAGACCAAAGAUUUAUCGCCUAGGGAUGAGCCCGCGUAGGAUUAGCUAGUUGGUGGGGUAAAAGCCUACCAAGGCGACGAUCCUUAGCUGGUCUGAGAGGAUGAUCAGCCACACUGGGACUGAGACACGGCCCAGACUCCUACGGGAGGCAGCAGUGGGGAAUAUUGGACAAUGGGCGAAAGCCUGAUCCAGCAAUGCCGCGUGAGUGAAGAAGGCCUUCGGGUUGUAAAGCUCUUUUGGCGGGGACGAUGAUGACGGUACCCGCAGAAUAAGCCCCGGCUAACUUCGU